AACGUAGGAGACAACCGUUAUCCGGAGUUACUGGGCGUAAAGGGCGCGUAGGCGGGAUGGCAAGUCGGUCGUGAAAUCCCUCGGCUCAACUGAGGAUCGUCGAUCGAUACUGCCGUUCUUGAGGAUUGCAGAGGAGACUGGAAUUCCCGGUGUAGCGGUGAAAUGUGUAGAGAUCGGGAGGAACACCGGUGGCGAAGGCGGGUCUCUGGGCAAUUCCUGACGCUGAGGCGCGAAAGCGUGGGGAGCAAACGGG
rnacentral:rRNA from 1 species